ACAAAAUCUGUCAUCUUAACCACUUCGAAGUAUACAGUUCAGUUGAACCAAGUAUACAGUUCAGUUGUACUAAAACAUGUCAACCAUUUCGUUUUGCAGAUGGGAAGCCUGAGGCUCAGAAGGAAUGGAACAUGUCAAGGGAUAUGGCAGAGAGAGGACUCACACUCAGACUAUGGAUCGCCUUCAGGUCCCGAAAGAGGGCAGGACAUGCCAAAGGGAAGAGGAGGAACAAGAUGGAGCCCCCCUCGCUGAGCCAGUGUGGACCUGGAACCUCGAACAUCUGCCUCUUAAUACACUGGCUGCCAGGAAUGCAAAAUNNNNNNNNNNNNNNNNNNNNNNNNNNNNNNNNNNNNNNNNNNNNNNNNNNNNNNNNNNNNNNNNNNNNNNNNNNNNNNNNNNNNNNNNNNNNNNNNNNNNNCCACACAAGCGCUUGUGCUUGAAUGUUUGCAGCAACUUUGUUUUAAUAACCCCAGACUUGGAAACAGCCCCAGUGCCCAUCAACUUGUGAAUAGAUGCCAAAUUAUGGUAUGUUCCUACUAUAGACUGCUACUUAGUGAUAAGAAGAAUAAUUACUGAUGUAUACACAUCAACACUGAUGAAUUAUACCCUGUGAAAGGCACAGAAGACCACAUACUCUGUAAUUAAUUCCACUCAUGUGAAAUUUGAGAAAUGGCAAAGUGGAAUGAUAGCACACAGAUCAGUGGUUGCCAGGGCCUGGGGCGGGGAAGGGAGGAGAUUGAUGGCAAAGGGGCAUGAUCUUUCGGGAGUUUUUCAGGGAUAAUGGAAAUCUCCUGUAUUGUGAUGCAGUGGCUACAUAAUUGUCAAAACUCAUUGAAUUAUACACUCGAACUUGGUGAGUGUUUUGUUUGUUUGGUUGUGCUGGGUCUUCGCUGCAGCUCGAGGGCUCUCUAGUUGAAGCAUAUAGGUUUAGUUACUGCUCGGCAUGUGUGAUCUUAGUUUCCUGACCAGGGAUCAAACCCGAGUCCCCUGCAUUAUAAGGCAGAUUCUUAACUACUGGACCACCAGGCAAGUCCCUAAGUUGGUGAGUUUUAUCAUAUGUAAAUUAUACCUCAAUAAAGCUAAUUCUUAAAACGCUGUUAGAAUGGGGCACAUAGUCUAUUUACUUCUAAUACCACCUCCUGGGAGCCUCCGUUUGAGCAGCAGACAAAAGGAUCUUUUUUGAACAUUAAUCAGAUUACAUCACUCUUUAUUUAAACACUCUCAUAAAUUCUCUUUCCUCUUUGAAUGAAGUCCAGAGGAUUACUGGGGCCUACAAGUCCCCAUGCCUUGCUCACUGACACCGACACUACGGGGGACUGGAGCAGUAGGACAAAUGGAAGCCCGCGUACUGUGUGCUUAAAUUCUUAUGACUGCUAAUAAGACAGUUCUGUUCUUCUGCCUUGAAAUUCUUACGACUGCAGAGCGAGCCAACAAGCUGCUAAUAAGACAGUUCUGUUCUUCUGCCUUGACCAGUAGACCUUCAUGGGGAGCUGGAAGGCCAGGUGCACAGCUAGAUUCUUAGAGUCCUUGCAGUUCUGUGCCAGAGGUGAUGGCAGGGAAGGCAGACCCUAAGCCACAGUUUGCCCCACCCCCUUGAGCUUUCCAUCCAGGCUCCAGCUGACACUGAAGAUACCUGCCAGGCCCCUGGAGACAUCUGGGUUUGAAAUCCCCUGGAGGCUGAAGACAGCACUGGGUAUAGAAUCAGGGAAACUGGAUUCUUAACAUGUAUCUCCUGAUUUCCCCCCAACCUGUGCUCUGCUCUGAAUGCCUGAGUGUAUAUGUGGGCAUGCAUGCAUGUGUGUGCAUGUCUCCAUGUGUGCAUGGGUGCACCUAUCUGUGUGUGUUCACUUGUGUGUGGGUGCAUAUGCAUGCAUGUGUGUGCUCGUGUGUAUGCACACAUGUGUACUUCAACAGUAGUGUGAGUUCCAUGAAGGCAACUACUGUGCCAGAUUCAUCUCUGUAUCAUUUCCGCCUGUACAGAAGAGAUGCUAAAUGCUUGUGAAGUGAAUAUACGAAUGAAUUAGCCAGUCCAGCACAUUUACUGACAGUGUGAGUUUGAAAUCAGCCAGAUUUAAGGUCAAAAUCUUACUUCAUCACUCAUCCACUAAGUCGCUUUGGUUCAGUCUCCUAAUCCCAUAGAGCCUCAGUUUCCUUACCUCAAGAGCAGGGGGAAAACAAUGACAUAUUAUAGGGGUUGGAAUGAGGAUUAAGUAACAAUAAUCAGAGCCAACAUGUAUUGAGCUGGACUUUGAGCCAAACACUGUAGUUAGGGCAUUGAAAGUGCUAACUCACAUAUUUUUGCAAUUUUGUGGUGGAGGGUUGGUUAAACAGUAAACUCUGAGUAUCUUAGCCAUCAUCAUAUUUGUGAUCAAAGGAGAGGAGAUUCCGGAUCCUUAAGCCUCAGGGGCUUCUUCUUAUGAAUUCUGCUCAGAUUCUGGCUGAUGCGGCUUCUGGAGAUUUGGCUGUAGAGUUCAGCAAGCAGCGCUUUGCCAAGCUGCUGCUGCUGCUGCUGCU
ensembl:lncRNA